AUCAACGCUGGCGGCGUGCCUAACACAUGCAAGUCGAACGAGAAAGGGUAGCAAUACAGGAGUAAAGCUGCGCACGGGUGAGUAACACGUGACUAACCUGCCCUCAGUGGGGGAUAACCUCGGGAACCGGGGCUAAUACCGCAUAACUUCGUGAGGGAAUCUGCGGUUUGUCGAGGAAAGGAGCAAUUCGCUACUGAGAGGGGGUCCGCGGCUGAUCAGCUAGUUGGGGAGGUAAUGGCUCACCAAGGCACUGAUCAGUAUCCGGCCUGAGAGGACGGCGGCCACACUGGAACUGAAACACGGUCCAGACUCCUACGGGAGGCAGCAGUGGGAAUUUUUGGCAAUGGGCGAAAGCCUGACGCAAGCAACGCCGCGUGGGUGAUGAAGGUAUCUCGGUACUGUAAAACUCCUUUCGACGGGACGACCUCAGUGACGGUACCCGGUGGAAGAAGCCCCGGCUAACUCUGUGCCAGCAGCCGCGGUAAUACAGAGGGGUGCAAGCGUUGUUCGGAACUACUGGGCGUAAAGGGCGCGUAGGCGGUCUCGUUAAGUCCGUGGUGAAAAUCUCAGGGCUCAACCUAGAGCCUGCAUUCGAACUGACGGUGCUAGAGUUCUGGAGAGGUAGCGGGAAUUCCUGGUGUAGCGGUGAAAUGCGUAGAUAUCAGGAGGAACACCGGUGGCGAAGGCGGCUUACUGGACACAACUGACGCUGAGGCGCGAAAGCUAGGGGAGCAAACAGGAUUAGAUACCCUGUAGUCCUAGCCCUAAACGAUGAACACUUGGUGUGGCGGGUACCCAAUCCCGUCCGUGCCGGAGCUAACGCGUUAAGUAGUCCCGCCUGGGAGUACGGGUCGCAAGGCUGAAACUCAAAGGAAAUUGACGGGGGCCCGCACAAGCGGUGAGUAUGUGGUUCAAUUCGACGCAACGCGAAGAACCUUACCUGGGCUCGAACUGCUAGUGGCAAUCGGGCGAAAAUCGGCUUUCCCGCAAGGGACGCUAGUCUAGGUGCUGCAUGGCUGUCGUCAGCUCGUGUCGUGAGAUGUUGGGUUAAGUCCCGCAACGAGCGCAACCCCUGCUUCUAGUUGCUAACACGUUAUGGUGAGCACUCUAGAGGACUGCCGGUGAAAAACCGGAGGAAGGUGGGGAUGACGUCAAGUCCUCAUGGCCUUUAUGUCCAGGGCUACACACGUACUACAAUGGCCGGUACAAAGAGUCGCAAACUCGCGAGAGGGAGCCGAUCUCAAAAAGCCGGUCUCAGUUCGGAUUGGAGUCUGCAACUCGACUCCAUGAAGCUGGAAUCGCUAGUAAUCACUGAUCAGCAAGCAGUGGUGAAUACGUUCCCGGGCCUUGUACACACCGCCCGUCACAUCACGAAAGCCAUUUGUACUAGAAGCCGGUGAUUCAACCGCAAGGAGAUAGCCGUCCAAGGUAUGAAUGGUGAUUGGGGUG
rnacentral:rRNA from 1 species